rnacentral:lncRNA from 1 species
UGUAUUUUUGGAUACCAUGCCUGUAGGUUUAACAUGAUUCCUGCAUUAGAUACCAUGCCUAUAGGUUUGAGAACAAGCUUCUGCACGCAGAUGCUACGUCUAAAAUCAGUAAUGUAUAGAAAGCAUGUCUAUAGGAUUUUCUAAAUGAAUAUGAUUCGUUUUACUCAGCGUUAGAUAUAAAAUCAGUAAUAAUGGAUCCUGACAGUCGCAUAACUUGUAAUCAAUUAGUUUAAAUUCAUCCCCUCUUUAAUAAUCUGAGUCCCUCGCUUAACCAAAAUUUAGCAAGCAUGCAUAUAGGGUUUUUAAAUAAUUCGUCUUGAGUUUUAAUGUCUUAUUACCUUCCAAAUUUAGUAGAUAUCAUGUCUAUAGGACCCCAUCUUAACACUUAGUCAAGCCUUAUGAUAAUCACUAUUAAAAAUGAGUUUGCUUCUGUUAACUAUCACAACCAGUAGGCAUGCCUGAUUCAGGCUUCUAAUCUAAAUUAUGUAAUAAACCAUGUCUGCCUCAACUUUUAAACUAACCACUGCAUAUUCAAAUACCUAUAGAAAUCAUGCCUAUAGGUUGUUCUGAUUCUGCAUAUAUAUCAAUCAUGUUCUGUAUGUUUGGAUACCAUGCAUGUAGGUUUAAAAUGAUUCCUGCAUUAGAUACCAUACCUAUAGGUUUGAGAACAAGCUUCUGCACCCAGAUGCUACGUCUAAAAUCAGCAAUGUAUAGAAAGCAUUCCUAUAGGAUUUUCUAAACGAAUCUGAUUCGUUUCACCCACUAUUUGAUAUAAAAUCGGUAAUAACGGAUAAUGUGAGUUGCAGAACUUGUAAUCAAUUCAUUUAAAUUUAGCCCCUCUUUAAUAAUAUGUGUCUCUCGCUUAAUCAAAGUUUAGCAAACAUGCCUAUAGGGUUUUUAAAUAAUUCAUCUUGAGUUUUAAUGUCUUAUUACAUUUCAAUUCAGUAGAUAUCAUGUAUAUAGGACCUCGUCUUAACACUUAGGCAAGUCUUAGGAUAAUAACUAUUAAAAAAAUGAAUCUGCUUCGGUUAACUAUUACAACCAGUAGACAUGCCUGAUUCGGGCUUCUUAAUGAGUUUGCUUCUGUUAACUAUCACAACCAGUAGGCAUGCCUGAUUCAGGCUUCUAAUCUAAAUUAUGUAAUAAACCAUGUCUGCCUCAACUUUUAAACUCUCUCAUAUUUGGUAUUUAAUCAGACCUAAACAAUAUGUGAAAGUCAUGCUAAUUAUAUGCUUUCUUUGUUUAAGGAGGUAUAUGUGAGCUUUCUUUGUUUAUGUGCUUUCCCAAAAAUAUGCAAUAUGUAUUUUGUCUGUCGCCCUAGAGUUUUUACCUUUGAAACUUCAAAUAAGCCUAAUAUCUCUCCUUUUUAGGAUAAGUAGCCUUAAGUGCCUCUAGGACUGAUAGGAGUGGGACGGGUAAUAGCAUGCAAUAAGCAAUUGAGGCCAAUCUAUGCUUUAAAUACCUCAACGGGGUGGGAAGUGUAGAUAUUGAUAUGAUGACCAUGCGAUAAUAUCAUGUGUAGCCAUUCAUUGAGGAGUGAUUACCAGACAUUGUGUGGGAUGAUCCAUAUUUGUAAUAAACCUAGGACCCCCUUCCCUUGAUUAUUUACUUCUUUUCAGCAUUUUUAAUCAGUUUCUCUAAAUUGCUCUUUCAAAUCUUGUUUACUUCCAAACCAUUAUGUGUUGAAAUUCCCUCUUAUUUGAGAUUUAUUUGUUUAUAUGUAAGUGUACCCAAAUUCAUAAUAAUUGUCUGGCCGGGAACCACACUAGUGGAUUCUGAGAGGUGCCUAACACCUUCCCCUUAGAAUAAUUUUGAGCCCUUACCCAAUCCCUGGUUAUUCAAAUCAAACCAUUAUGGUGUCCUAAUGUACCCUAAUCAUUAGGUGGCAGCCCUUAACCAAUCCCUGGUUAUUCAAAUAAAACCAUUAUGGUGUCCUAAUGUACCCUAAUCAUUAGGUGGCGACUCUUCAAGUACAAACCCAGUUCCAAAAAGGAACAAGUUGUCCCUCCAAAUGUCAUAAAUCCGAAUUCCACGGAGGAAAUAUGGGGCACGACAGUUCCAACACCCAAGGACAGAUCAGUCAUUGGCUUAAAAUGGGUCUUCAAAAACAAACUUGAUGAAGAUGGAACAGUUACAAGAAACAAGGCAAGACUGGUGGUCCAAGGUUACAGCCACGAGAAGGGUAUAGAUUAUGAUGAGACUUUUGCUCCAGUUGUAAGACUAGAGGCAAUAAGACUUAUCAUAGCCCUUACAGCACAUAUGGGAUUCACUGUUCAUUAGAUGGAUAUCAAAAGUUCCUUCUUGAAUGGCUACCUAAAAGAAGAAGCGUUUGUGAAACAACCUCCAAGGUUUGAAAGCAAGGAAUGUCCUGAGCAUGUGUACAAAUUAGACAAGGCUCUCUACGAACUCAAGCAGGCUCCUAGAGCAUAGUAUGAACAAUUUUCCAAAUUCCUGAUUGAACAUGGCUACAAAAGAGGUAAAGCUGAUAGUACUCUGUUCUUGAGAGAAAAAGGUAAAGAUCUUCUAGUGGUACAAAUAUAUAUUGAUGACAUAAACUUUGGGUCCACCAUUGAUAAAGUAAGUAAGGAUUUUGCCAAAUUCAUGGGGAGUGAGUUUGAAAUGAGUAUGAUGUGUGAGCUUAAAUUUUUCUUAGGCUUAAAGAUAAAACAAAUCCUAAAUAGCACCAUGAUCCAUCAGCAGAAAUAUGUAAAGGAGCUUAUCAAAUAGUUCAAAAUGGAUGAAUCAAAGGAAAUAGACACUCCCAUUGCAAUUGCCACUAGAUUAAACAUAGAUGAACCUAGUUCAUCUGUUGAUCAGAAGUUGUAUAGGGGUAUGAUUGGUUCACUUUUAUAUCUUACUGCCAGCGGACCUUACAUAGUUUUUAGUGUAGGGAUUUUUGCUUGCUUCCAGGCUAAUCCAACAGAGACUCACUUGAGUUCUGUCAAAAGGAUACUAGAUAUUUGAAAUGCACUACUGAUAUGUGUCUUUGUUGCCCUGAAGGUAGUAAUUUCAAUCUAGUAGGGUAUGAUGAUGCUAAUUAAGUAGGUUUUCUUGUGGAUAGGAAAAGCACCUCAAGCAUAGCUCAUUUUCUUGGUUCAUGUCUUGUAUCAUGGGCUACUAAAAAGAAAAAUUCAAUAGCUUAUCGAAUGUUGAGGCUGAAUAUGUUCUUGCCGCCUCUUGUUAUGCUCAAUUUCUAUGGAUUAAACAGCAGCUGGUAGAUUUUGGUAUUGAAGUUGGUUGUAUUCUUGUAUUUUGUGAUAGACUUGUGCUAUAAGUAUGACAAAGAACCUGUUUCAUUAUAAUAGGACUAAGCACGUAGAUGCUAGACAGCACUUCUUAAGAGAUAACUAUGAGAAAGGAUUUAUCUUCAUAGAAUUUUGUGCUAUUGAUAAAAAAUUCAUGACAUCUUCACUAAAGCAUUUUGUAGAGAAAUCUUUGAGAGGAACAGGUUGGAAUUAGAAAUGAUUAAGAUCACCUAACAGGUCUAGAUCAGAAUGCACAAUGAAAAUAAAAAUUGAAAAAUUGAAAUUGUUUUUUUGGCUAGGAACUUUGAACUUGUGUAAGUAUCUACAUUAAUUCUUACUCAGCUUCAUACUUUAGUUAGCAUACUCCUAUAACAUGUGUUAAUAUGAUUCAUCGAUCUCUUGCCAAAUUUUCUCUAUUAUGGUAAUUGAGACAUGUUUAAGAGAAUUCUAAAUGAAAAACCUAGUUCAUCAGUAUGGAUUCAUCUGAAAACUAAGGAAUGUUUUCUAUACUCUGUACAAUUAGAAAUAUAAAUAUUUAAAUCAUGAGAAGAAGUCCUACAAUUGUUCAAUUACUAAAAAAUUCUAUCCGUUAGGUUUGAACCAGUUCCGUCUGCCUAGAACUCUAAACCGAAAAAAUUGCCUAAAAUCUAGGAAAGAUAAACCGAUCAUUCAAAAAUGAAGUUUCAGGUUGAUUAGACCUCUAAUUGACCACUGCUAAAGCUGAUGUUACCCAUUAAAUGUGUAUUUCUCAUUAAAUACACAUUAUUCCUUCUGCCAACUCCAUAAUCUGAACUGUCAAUUUUCUUUCUUCACUCUCACUUGCCUUCUUCUUAUCCAAAAUUCUAACUCCCUAAUUCUCUAAAAAAGCCAGUGAUCAUGACCAACCCAUAAGACAAUCCUGGAACUCCUCCACAACUCACUCCAUCUGAUUCAUCACCCUCUCAUCCACCCAACACUACUCCCAAACCUAGGUUAAGAAGGGUUAAAAUUCUUGCUCGAAAAACAGUAGUGACUAGAACUCUCAAGAAGAAAUUAAAUGAGAAAUUAAAGGCAAGCCAAGGCCCAGACUCCGACUCCAACUUUGAUUCUGAGUCAUACAAAUCUGCUAGUAAAGGGGAAGGACCUGGGUCUUCUGAUUCUGAAAAGACUCAAGAAUCCCCUUCUAAGGUAAGUUCUUCUAUGAAUGAAAAUUUAGAAACUAGGUUUGUUCUGGUUGGACCUAGUAAGGAUAUAGAAUUACCUGAGUUAUGAAGGAGUAGAGGUAAAAAGAAUUAUGAAAAAAAAAAACAGAGAGAGAGGGUGCAUGUGGUGAAGAAAGAGGAAAUAGGAAAAGAGUGGUUGAUCAUUCACCCACUGCUAGGCUGUAUGUGCUUGAUAUUUCUGGGUCUCAACAAGAACUUGUAGAAGAAAGUGGCAACAAGUUAGGGGGAAGUGGUUCUGCUGAAGCUACUGAAGGGUUGGUUAACUUAAGUUCAAAAAGAGAUGAACCUAGUUCAUAAGUUGAAGAAAUCCUAGAAGACCUUUUGAAAAAGUUUGGAGCGAGUCAUGAUCCAAAUAAAAGAUCAACUACCACACCAAAAGCCCCCAGUGCUCCCAAUUUUUUUAAGAAAAGAAAGACUUCCUCCCCAACACUUACUGCACUUCCUUGCCAAAGGGAAGAACCACAAGAAGCAGGGUGAAACAGAGAUAGACUGGUCUACGAAGGGCUUUAGCUGAAAGUAAGGAGAAAAGAAUGGAUAAAAGAAAAGGGAAGGUUGUAGAGUCCUCAGAGGCUACUGAAGUCGAGGAGAUGGAACGGGCCCAUCAAGAAAAGGUUACACCAAUGGAGGUUCUGACGCCCCAAGACUAAAAAGCCCAAGACUUCUUCCAAGAAGUCUUUCUCUAUGUCUGAGGCUGUUGAAACUUCAGUAGCCAAGAGGACAAGGUCUGCACCCCAAAAGCCCAAGACUUCUUCGAAGAAGUCUUUCUCUGUGUCUGAGGCUGUUGAACCUUCAGUAGCCAAGAGGACAAGGUCUGCAGUGAAAAACAAACAAGCAAAGAUUUCUGAAGAUGAGGAUGGAGUGGAGAAUAAGUAGAAGAUGAUUUUGAUGGUGAACAGGACAAGCUUUCCAUGUUUGGCAAAAUAAAGAUUUUAAAGGGUAGCUGCUGAAAGACCUAGUGGAACCAGGAAUGAUAAUAUUGGUUUAUUCUUUCGCUGCUCAGGGAUGGAAGGACAUGGUCCUUCAGACUGAUGGUAGGCUAGCCAGAAAUGAGCUAAUUGAGUUUAUGGUAAAUGUAGAGGUUAAGGAUGGCAAGUUUAGUAGCUUGGUGAAAGGAGUUCAAGAGUAUUUUGAUGCAGAAAAAUUGAGAGAGAUCCUGGACAUACCCUCUGAAGGGUUUGAUUACUAUACAAGAAAAAGGUGGCCUUGCCUAGACUCUCUCCCUAUUGCUCUUGUAAUUACUAGGUGUCACACCUUCCUUUUUCACUUACACCCUCCGAAUGGGUAUAAGAAGGGAGUUUUUCCAAUUAAAGGGCAAUCGAAACGGGAUAUUUGUUGAUUAAAAGAAUUCAAAAUCGUUACUUGGGAUAAUUAUGGUGUCUCAAAUCGCCGGUUUGAAUCCUGAAUCGAGGAAAGAUUAACUCUGUUUUACAGUCCAUGAACCAGAAAUCCAGGUAAGGAAAUCUGUUAAACCGGGAGAAGGUGUUAGGCAUUUCCGGAUUCCGUGGUUCUAGCAUGGUCGCUCAACUAUUUUAAAUGGCCUAUUAUUUGAUUUUAUUACAAGUUUAAAACCUAUGUGCAUUUUUAAACUUAAUCGCUUCUAAUUAUCUUUAAGGAAAAAUUGUAAUGUCAUUUAAAAUAUGUUUUGGACCGCGUCACAUAAAUGCACCCGCAGUCCGCAGCAUAUUUAUAUAAUAUUGUUGAGAUUUGGAUUUGGGUCACAUAAAUGCACCCGAGUUUAGGAAGGUAAUUUAUUAAAAUAACGCGCCUAAAGCAACUACGCGUUUGCAACUAUGCGAGGGCCAUAAAAAUUCGCUAAAUGGCACGCCUCAAUUUCAAAGGAUUAAAUUAAUUAAGUGAAGGUCAUAAGUUUUGAGAUUUUAUUUGGCAUGACACGCCUCAAAUUAUUUUAAAGGGAUUUAUUAUUCGAAGUUAUUAUAAUCGGAUUACAUGAAAUGCACCUCCUAAUUUUCUUAGUCUAGAUAACGUCACAAAUAGCCAAGCAAACAAGAUCAUCCAAGAACAUUUAAAUAAUUAUGGAACUAAAAACUAUUCUCUUUGUUACUUGUACAGUGGCUUGUUUUUCAAGUCCUUCUACUGCUUUUACUGUAUUUUGCUUCCUUGAAUAAGAACACUAAUAAAAAGGAUCGAAAUAUAACAAAAACGUCAAUUUUUGCCCCCAACAACAUAGCCUUUUUCCUUCAAUAUGGGGUUUUCCAUUUAAGUACAAGAAAUGAACAAAUUCACAGUAGCAUUAGCACUAGAGAUUUCAGAAGGUUCCAUUAUAAAGUUUAAAAAAUAAUAAUAAUGACAGAGAGUAGUAUAAGGAAAAAGAAAGGCAACAAUGGAAGAGAAAUGAGGAGAGUAGUGGAUGAAGUAAUCAAAAAAAGAAGAGUAAAAUGUAACAAAAUACUGAUAAGAAGAAACUAACCAACUGCCAGAUCAUAUCUCCAAACAAAAGAUCAUCAAAAUAUAUAGCUAACAAAAAAAAAAUAAAAAAAUUCAAAACAUGACUUCAAAUAAGAAAAGAAAUCCAUUCAUCACUAACUAUAACAAAAUACAAAGGGGCUCUUUUGAGUUUACCUCUUGAGCAAGCAAAGCAAUAAGGAGAAGACAAAUAGAAGCUGAAAAGAAAAACAGUAAGGAUGGAGCUCAAUGGCAAAUCCGAGUAAAACAGCAGCAAAAAUUGGAUGAUUCCAGAUUAUUUUUCUUUUCAUUUUCAAAUUUCCAUUUUUCUAUUUUUCGAUAUCAGAUCUAUUUCUUAAACUACUUCAAUGUGUGUUCAUGAAGAGUGUUUUCCAAUGUGAAUCGAAGGAGGGAGGUCAUGAGAGAAGAUGAGAG